AGCUUAGAGAAUACUUGCAAAUUGAUAAAUUUAAGGAAAGAGACAUUUUUCAGAAAAAAACGAUGAAUAGAUUGGUUAUUUCGAAAUCGAAGAGCACGUUAUAAAAGUGGCUGUGAAUUUUGAACCGAGGACGUUUAAAUGCGAAUUUCAACUUUGAAUAAUGCAUACGAGGCAAGCAUGGCGUCAAUAUUUUCUUUCGGUCAAUAGUUAUGGAGAAUAGUCCUUCUCACGGUAAUUCUGCAUGGGGAAUGGGCAAAAAUAGCUACGUUGGACAAUGCCAACUUCAUCAUUCUCGAUCUUCUGAAGACUUGUGAAUUUAUUUCCUCGACGAAUGGGCGUUCCCAAGGACUAUUCCGAUUUUAGAACCUUAGCAAUAGUCGAGUAGAAUUGAAAUAUGAAGGGACGAGUGUGAAAUUUUAAUAUAAUAUUUAAUAUGUCCCUAGAUCCUAGGGAAAUUUAGGUUCUACGAGAAUCCUAUAAAAUCUAUACGCUUACAGCUCGAUUCUCGUCAUAUUUUCAAUGACUAAUUCUUUAUUUAACGUAACAUUUAUCAAUGUGCAGAAAUAUGACACAUGGCUCAUUAGUCGAACCGAUCUGUCAAGGAUCCAUAGCUGAGCAGUGAAGAGGAAGCUCUCGGUUCGACGGGGAAAGAAGAUAGCGUAAUUUUAUGCGAAUUCCUUCAACAAAUUUACGCCCACCAAGAGACGAGGAAGAGUCGUGUCGCUCGCGAACGCGAUUCUACGCCAGGCAAAAGCCGCGUCGGUUUAUUUUCGACUUGGAAAAGUUUAAAGUUAGACAACCGGUAGGACGUGCCUACUAGCGUACAAUAUUACAGUGAGCCAAGUUGUAGAUCGUCAAACUUAACAAUAUAUGGUUUAUGGAAUAUAAUGUAAAAGAAGAUUAAAGCAAUUAGACUGGAGAAACGAAGAUGGAUUUUUGAUCCACGAGGAAAAUAUUACGAGGCGAGAAGAGCAAACGAAGUGAAGAGGAUAUUGCGCAACGCUUUGAAACGGCUCCUGCGGCACGCGGCUAGCAAGAAAUCUGAAACAGCGGGUCGAAGGUUGCGAUAGGUUCGCACUUUGCUUCGUGAUCGUAAACAUGUAACGACAUGCGUGUUAUGCCGAUUGAUGAACACCGAGAAAACCGGCGUCUAUUAUUAACUCCUCGUUCUAUGCCACGGCGAUUAAUCUUUUAUCGAUGGAUACUUAUUCAUUGGAUACUAUGGUUUAGAAGGAUUUUUUUUAUUAAAAGAAUUUAUGGAAAAUUAUAAUAAUUGGUUACA